rnacentral:lncRNA from 1 species
AUGUGGUAUCCCACUAAUUUGCUGUUUUAGACACGUGGCUUGUGAUAUCCCACUAAUUAGCUAUUUUAAACAUGUGACAAGUGGUAUGACACUGUAUUGAUGUAUGUGAAAUGUAUAGAGUCUUUCAGU